ACGAGUUAGGGUCUUCUAGGCCCGACCUCCCAACCCUUUGUUUACUUGACCCAACGUUGCUUCGGCGAGCCCGUCUCUCUCCAGGGACCGCCGGAGGGCCGUAAAACGUCCUCUGGUCCGCGCUCGUCGACGGCCAACCACAAAUUCUUUAACAAACGUGUCCUGUCUAAGUAUACAUUUUUAAAUAAAAGCA
rnacentral:misc_RNA from 1 species